rnacentral:rRNA from 1 species
GACGAACCGUGCGAACGUUGUUCGGAAUCACUGGGCUUAAAGGGCGCGUAGGCGGGCCUCCCAGUCCGUGGUGAAAGCCCCCGGCCCAACCGGGGAAGUGCUGCGGAUACUGGAGGCCUCGAGGGGUGUAGGGGCAUGCGGAACUUCCGGUGGAGCGGUGAAAUGCGUAGAUAUCAGGAGGAACACCUAUUGCGAAGGCAGCUCGCUGGGACGUAACUGACGCUGAGACGCGAAAGCGUGGGGAGCAAACAGG